CAAAAGUUAAAAUCACCGUAAAGAGCUAAGGUAAAAGCUCCAAAUACUGAAAGCAAGGUUUGAGACAAACAAAUCCACCUUGUUUGUGCUUCUUGCCCGAAUAAUACUGUGACCUUACAUUAACAUUUCCUGAUGAAUCAUCUUAUUUAGCUAGCAAGAAUAUUCCUGUGAUCUCAGAGUAUCUUAGUUCCCUACCUCACCUAAGUUUAUCCUUGUAAUGACUAUGUCUGAUGUCCUAAGAUGAUUCCUUCUGGUGUAGGCAAAUGCCUGCUAUUAGACAAGAUAAUGAAAGAGCAAAAUGCUCAAAAUGCAGAAUAAUCACUCUGUAAAGAUUACACAUCAGAUGUCAUGAUGUAACCUUGUUUGUGAAACUUGCUGAGGCAAGAAUAUAUAUGGCUGAAGAUAUAUAAGUUAAAUCCUCCAGCUCUGAAUCAAACAAUUUCACACCAAAGUUGAGAGCCUCUGUCCUUGCCACCUCCUCCUUUUCUUCUGCUGUUUCAGCCUUCUCUGGAUGCUAGCCAUGAUCCUGGGAGCACAACUGACAUAUCACUGAAGCUGCUGAGACCCACUGUGCUGCCUUUGACCAGUGCUCCACUCAGCACACUGCUAGGCAAUCUACACAUGUUGCAGAGGGGAACUGUUCUCACUGUGCCUCGCCUGUCUACAUAGGCACUCCUUGUCCUCUGGACUCCAGGUUAACUAUAGCACAGUGCACUUCCAGACCUAGGGUAGUUGGCUGUUCCCUAGAAGAUGUGUAAGUUACUUCCUCGCUUUACUUUUGAAGAUAUUGCCAGAAUUUUAUAGAAAUUCUGUACUUCACACCGGUACAGGCAGCUGGAAGGUCUGGAAAUACUUCUUUGAAAUCAGUUUCUUUUUUUCCCUUUGAAUCAUCAGAGAAACCAACCAGCACAAAAAGUAGGAUAUAAACAUAGCACCUCAAAGCUUACGAAGCUUACUUUACCAGAAAUGUAAGCCUAAUGACUGUGAAAGGUGAAAAUUAUAUUAAAAACAAAUACAUGGUAAUUAAGAGGCAUACAUCAGCAUGCAAGGGGAGUGCUUUUGGAAACCAGUAAAAGAUCCUAAUUGUUUAUUGAAAAUAAGUGUUGUCAUAGAUGUCUAUAGCUAAUUUAUUAAGACGCUGGAGAACGUUUUAACCUGCUUCACCAAGAGGAAUGUUAUAUUUUUUUUCUUUUUUUUUACACUUUUAUGUGAGUUAUUUUGACAGCUCCAGGGCUAGAAAUGUUGUAAUUAUUGAGAAAACGAGUGUGGUAGAAGUGGGUACCCCACAUAGUCCCUCAAAUUGCCUGUCCAAUAUGAUUUGAUACUAUCAAAUAUCCCGAAUGAUGUAAGGGUAGGUGUGUAAAUUAGUUUCCAAGUUCCUGAGUCCUCUAUGCCUAAUUGCAGCAGUAUUAGUUUUUCUAAUAUGGGAGCUAAACUGAGAUUGUAAAAUCAUUUAAUAUAGGCAACAAAUAGGAAGGAAGGACUAAGAAAUUAUCUUUUUUUUUGCUGUUAACUUGGAUUUAAAUUGCUGUUACUGAGAAGAGUAGCAUCUUGGAUCCUACUGUCCUUAAGCCAGUGUUUUUCAGUUGGUUUUCUUUUUCAAGAUGAAAAUUGCAAAAAAAAUAAAAGUUUCAGCCCUCCUUGUCUUUAUAAAACUGAAUUGAUACCUGCUUGUAAAAGUGACAAAUAUAUGCAAUAUUUCUUGAAAGGCUGAAAAGCGUGCCGACCUUGAGGAACAAAAGUCACCAGAAGCACAGAAACUAGGUUGCCUUUGCUUUAUAAUUUGCACAAUUUUCAACAACGUGCCAACACCUGCCUGUGAUUCAUGACUACUGUGUGUCACGACCCACUCUUUUAGCAACACUGCCCUGAUCCAUCCCCCUAACCUUAGUGAUGAAUAGUGUAAUAAUUGGCUAAUUUCAGUAUUGGUGAUUUACAGUCAUCAACAGUAUUUCCCAAAUUACAACAUGACAGCAAACAAGAGUAAUAUUCCUUCUAAGAGAUAUAUUUGCCUGUAAUUACCUGAAUACUUGAGGUCUAAGCGAGCUCUUGGACACCUUUUGGUUAACUGGGACAUACCAAAAACAGGAAAGAUCAGCCAGAUCUUUAAGGAUGAGGUUGUUCAAAAGGACAAAAAGAAAAGUAAAAUGACUGCUAGUACCACAUGAUAGUUAGCUAGUUAAAUCCAUUGUCUAAAUGCACAGCAUACACUCCUGCCAGUUCAAAGACAAACAAAACCAAAAAAAAAUGGAAUAUUUCAGUGGACUUUCUUAUUUACUUAAUUCUGUAUUUUAAAUUAAUUCAAUAGAGUGUCAAACGAUUAAACCACAGCAAUCUACAAGACUGUAAUCCUUUUCCCAGGGAAACAACAUUAUUUUAUAUAAAACAGGGGGGAGAGGGGAAAGAAUGUUUUACAAGGAAAAAAAGCCUCAAAAUGAAGUGACAGAAUCAGCUUCCUACCUUUGCUGAAGUGUCAUAUUUAUUUAGCUACAAAUGUGUGAAGGAUUCACCAACAGGACUGCCUCAGAAGAGGAAAUAGCCAAGAAGUGUACCUUGCUGUGGGCUAUUUGGGAUGUCAGUGGUUCAAAGGGCUCCUAACACAGCGAGGGUCACUGUCCCAGGUCUUCUGGAAAUCUCUGUAGGGAAACCUCCCAAGACAAAAGGUGGCUGUAAAAUGCUUCAGUAUAAGGUACCCCAUCAGUGUCUUGAUUAGCUCAGGCUAACUCUUUCCCUGUAAUACUAAUCAAACAAUGGAAAUUGUUUUUAGCAUGCAGCAGGCCACGUGCAAGGAAGCCUACGCUUCAAUCAGUGCAGCAUGUUGUGAAGCCUCAGCAGCCUUGCCUAUACUAGGGAGCCUGUAAAAUAUGUUAGCUAUCCUUACUAAUUUUAAUCCUUAACAUUUUAUCUGGAUUAGCAACUUCUAUAGUGUAUUAGGUACCCUGGUCAAAUAAUUUGUUGAACCCAAGACUGCUCAAAGGUUGAGUACAUUUGCAUCCUGGAUCAAGCACUGGAGGAGCAACUGAAUCUGGAUGGUCCAAAUCUGACUAGUAAUCAGUUACGUCAAAGUAAUAAAACAGACGUAUCUUGAAAGUGCUUCACAGAGUCCUUUGAUGUGUCCUUUAGUAAACACAAUGGGCCAAAUUAAGUACUGCUGAAAACUGCUGUAAGAGCUUGGUCAUUUUCAGUAACAGUGUAACUCUUACAGACUUAGUAUGCAGUCUGAUCACAGCCUGAGGGAUCAAAAAACAGGUAUAACAAGGAAAAGCAACCACCUCUAUGGUGAAAGUAGGUCACCAUUAAACACCUUUUUAAAGUGAUCUCCAGCGGAUGUACCCUGGCCUACCAAAACUGAUAGAACUCUGGUUUGCUCCAGAGAGGGGUUCCACCUGCUGCAUUGAGCCUGUGUUAUCUUAUUUUAGUAACUGUGAUUAAUUAUGCUGCCCUUCACACCCCUAUUUUAAGAUGCUAUUUUGCUGCAUAUGUUUAAAUUAUCUAUGUUUAUUCAGGAAUGUAAAGAAUUCAUCUGAAAGAAGAAAACAAAGACAGUAACUGCAUGCCAACAAAAGUUUUCGUUUUUCAAAGUUGGCACUGCAAUUAUGCUGUGCACGUGCUCAUCUGACUUUCAUGCUUCAAUAUCCAUAGAGCUGAAUCAGCACAGAAAAUGAACAUUCUUGUUGACGCAAACUGCUGCUGACUUGAAAGGAGUAUCUUUUUCAUUUAGAUCAAAUGGCAGUUUUGCUGGGAAAAAAAUGAAU